rnacentral:rRNA from 1 species
CCUACGGGAGGCAGCAGUGGGGAAUAUUGCACAAUGGGGGAAACCCUGAUGCAGCCACGCCGCGUGAGUGAUGAAGUAUUCCGGUUUGUAAAACUCUUUCAGAGGGGAAGAAAAUGAUGAUACCUGACUAAGAAGCACCGGCUAAAUACUUGCCGCCAGCCGCGGUAGU